UUUUAUUACAUUGUAUUUUUGUACGUGAUCAAUAUGGAAAGAAGGUUAAAGUUCUUGUUAAGUAAUUGUUUAUUCAAGUAAUUCGUAAAAUGGCUCUAUUCGAGCACACUUUAACUAACAAAAAAAGAGAAAAAGGGUAGAGAGAAAAAUGAAAGGAUUUAAACGAUUUGUCGGUACAUAUUGAUAAAAAGGUAAGAGGAGGAACAAUGAAUAUUCACAAAGAAGAACAGCUU